AACACGCCACACUGUCUGAAGGCAGUCGGCUUAACGAGAAACAAGAAUAUCCUACGUGUGGCUAAUUUGCGGUUAAGGAAGGCCCCAUGAUAUAUAAAGCCAAAAAAUAAAGCAAAACCGCAGCAGUUCAUUCAAAUUUUUUGUGGCCAAAACAAAUAUUAAGAUAAAAGUCAGUGGGGACUAUAAUUUGAGUUAUUCAAAUGCAAUAAAUCCGCGGAACCAAACGAGUUGCUAAUUUUACGUUAGACGCCCUUUAAUUUCACGCUGCCAUUUGUGGCUUCCGUUUCGUAUAAGUUUGGGUCGAUGAUUUUUAGAAUUUGCAUUUUCAAUUUGAAUAUAAAAAACCGCCGCUGCAGGUUUGCAGCUUUUAAAGUGAUCCGCAAUCUCAUUCCUAGUCAGUCGAAAAAAGUUCCAUUACCGAAUGACAUUUAUGAAGAAAUUGUGCAUAUUAAAUUGGGAUAUUGAUAAGUGAUAUCAUUGUUCCCAAGAAGUGAACGUCUAAACACAAAGGCAGACGGAUGAACAUUGCUAAAUGGACAGGCUUUCUUCUACCUCUUACAUACUUCUCAACGAAUCACAUAUACACUAUACUAUAAUGUGUUCACAAAAUACCAAAAAUGAUCAAGGUCUACACUCUAACGAUGUGCUGAAGUAGCUGCGCCGCAGAAAGAUAAAGCCUAAUGUGGAAAUACAAAUGUAAUUGCUUGCAGUUAAUUGACCCACAUACGAUUUCUAGCCAAGUCAAUGUCAAGUGUUGCUUCGGCUGACUUACUACAAAAGUUAAUUGCACUGCACGCACAUGCCAAAAGGUAAAAAGAGUCGCGAGCCUCGGCGACAGGCUUCCAAAACCCUGUAUAUCCACAUCACCAGACCUCAGGACCUCAACUUACGACUCUGGCUACGAGGCGCGUGUGUGCAAUAUCAGGUUUCCGCAUCGACUUGCAUAGUGAUUCGAGGAUGUGCGAAAAUAUGAUUUAAAUUAAGGGAUCAUCAGUUUGCAACAGACUAUUUGUAUACCUUCCUUUUAGAAUAUAUAUAUAUUUUUUAUAGAAAUAUGUAAUACUAGUUAAGUCUUCUAAAGGAAAUACAUUUUUACACGUU
rnacentral:sRNA from 1 species